rnacentral:rRNA from 1 species
UUAAGCGACUAAGCGUACACGGUGGAUGCCCUGGCAGUCAGAGGCGAUGAAGGACGUGCUAAUCUGCGAAAAGCGUCGGUAAGGUGAUAUGAACCGUUAUAACCGGCGAUGUCCGAAUGGGGAAACCCAGUGCAAUUCGUUGCACUAUCGUUAACUGAAUACAUAGGUUAACGAGGCGAACCGGGGGAACUGAAACAUCUAAGUACCCCGAGGAAAAGAAAUCAACCGAGAUUCCCCCAGUAGCGGCGAGCGAACGGGGAGCAGCCCAGAGUCUGAAUCAGCUUGUGUGUUAGUGGAACGGUCUGGAAAGUCCGACGGUACAGGGUGAUAGUCCCGUACACCAAAAUGCACAGGUUGUGAACUCGAAGAGUAGGGCGGGACACGUGGUAUCCUGUCUGAAUAUGGGGGGACCAUCCUCCAAGGCUAAAUACUCCUGACUGACCGAUAGUGAACCAGUACCGUGAGGGAAAGGCGAAAAGAACCCCGGCGAGGGGAGUGAAAAAGAACCUGAAACCGUGUACGUACAAGCAGUGGGAGCACCUUCGGGUGUGACUGCGUACCUUUUGUAUAAUGGGUCAGCGACUUAUAUUCUGUAGCAAGGUUAACCGUAUAGGGGAGCCGCAGGGAAACCGAGUCUUAACUGGGCGUUAAGUUGCAGGGUAUAGACCCGAAACCCGGUGAUCUAGCCAUGGGCAGGUUGAAGGUUGGGUAACACUAACUGGAGGACCGAACCGACUAAUGUUGAAAAAUUAGCGGAUGACUUGUGGCUGGGGGUGAAAGGCCAAUCAAACCGGGAGAUAGCUGGUUCUCCCCGAAAGCUAUUUAGGUAGCGCCUCGUGAAUUCAUCUUCGGGGGUAGAGCACUGUUUCGGCUAGGGGGUCAUCCCGACUUACCAACCCGAUGCAAACUACGAAUACCGAAGAAUGUUAUCACGGGAGACACACGGCGGGUGCUAACGUCCGUCGUGAAGAGGGAAACAACCCAGACCGCCAGCUAAGGUCCCAAAGUCAUGGUUAAGUGGGAAACGAUGUGGGAAGGCACAGACAGCCAGGAUGUUGGCUUAGAAGCAGCCAUCAUUUAAAGAAAGCGUAAUAGCUCACUGGUCGAGUCGGCCUGCGCGGAAGAUGUAACGGGGCUAAACCAUGCACCGAAGCUGCGGCAGCGACACUAUGUGUUGUUGGGUAGGGGAGCGUUCUGUAAGCCUGCGAAGGUGACCUGUGAGGGUUGCUGGAGGUAUCAGAAGUGCGAAUGCUGACAUAAGUAACGAUAAAGCGGGUGAAAAGCCCGCUCGCCGGAAGACCAAGGGUUCCUGUCCAACGUUAAUCGGGGCAGGGUGAGUCGACCCCUAAGGCGAGGCCGAAAGGCGUAGUCGAUGGGAAACAGGUUAAUAUUCCUGUACUUGGUGUUACUGCGAAGGGGGGACGGAGAAGGCUAUGUUAGCCGGGCGACGGUUGUCCCGGUUUAAGCAUGUAGGCUGGUUAUCCAGGCAAAUCCGGAUAAUCAAGGCUGAGGUGUGAUGACGAGGCACUACGGUGCUGAAGUAACAAAUGCCCUGCUUCCAGGAAAAGCCUCUAAGCAUCAGGUAACAUCAAAUCGUACCCCAAACCGACACAGGUGGUCAGGUAGAGAAUACCAAGGCGCUUGAGAGAACUCGGGUGAAGGAACUAGGCAAAAUGGUGCCGUAACUUCGGGAGAAGGCACGCUGGUGUGUAGGUGAAGCCCCUGCGGGUGGAGCUGAGACCAGUCGAAGAUACCAGCUGGCUGCAACUGUUUAUUAAAAACACAGCACUGUGCAAACACGAAAGUGGACGUAUACGGUGUGACGCCUGCCCGGUGCCGGAAGGUUAAUUGAUGGGGUUAUCCGUAAGGAGAAGCUCUUGAUCGAAGCCCCGGUAAACGGCGGCCGUAACUAUAACGGUCCUAAGGUAGCGAAAUUCCUUGUCGGGUAAGUUCCGACCUGCACGAAUGGCGUAAUGAUGGCCAGGCUGUCUCCACCCGAGACUCAGUGAAAUUGAACUCGCUGUGAAGAUGCAGUGUACCCGCGGCAAGACGGAAAGACCCCGUGAACCUUUACUAUAGCUUGACACUGAACAUUGAGCCUUGAUGUGUAGGAUAGGUGGGAGGCUUUGAAGCGUGGACGCCAGUCUGCGUGGAGCCAACCUUGAAAUACCACCCUUUAAUGUUUGAUGUUCUAACGUUGGCCCCUGACCGGGGUUGCGGACAGUGUCUGGUGGGUAGUUUGACUGGGGCGGUCUCCUCCCAAAGCGUAACGGAGGAGCACGAAGGUUAGCUAAUCCUGGUCGGA